AAGCACUGGAUGAGGGAGAUAUCGCCUUGUUGAAAACUUAUGGGCAGAGCACUUACUCUAGGCAGAUAAAGCAAGUUGAGGAUGAUAUCCAGCAACUCCUUAAGAAAAUUAAUGAGCUCACUGGUAUGUAC